rnacentral:ncRNA from 1 species
AAACUGAAGAGUUUGAUCAUGGCUCAGAUUGAACGCUGGCGGCAGGCUUAACACAUGCAAGUCGAGCGGGGAAGGUUGCUUCGGUAACUGACCUAGCGGCGGACGGGUGAGUAAUGCUUAGGAAUCUGCCUAUUAGUGGGGGACAACAUUCCGAAAGGAAUGCUAAUACCGCAUACGUCCUACGG